UACGUAGGGGGCUAGCGUUGUCCGGAAUCAUUGGGCGUAAAGAGCGUGUAGGCGGCCCGGUAAGUCCGCUGUGAAAGUCGGGGGCUCAACCCUCGGAUGCCGGUGGAUACUGUCGGGCUCGAGUACGGAAGAGGCGAGUGGAAUUCCUGGUGUAGCGGUGAAAUGCGCAGAUAUCAGGAGGAACACCAAUGGCGAAGGCAGCACUCUGGGACGUGACUGACGCUGAGACGCGAAAGCGUGGGGAGCAAACAGG
rnacentral:rRNA from 1 species